rnacentral:rRNA from 1 species
UACGUAGGGUGCAAGCGUUGUCCGGAAUUAUUGGGCGUAAAGAGCUCGUAGGCGGUUUGUCGCGUCUGCUGUGAAAACGCGAGGCUCAACCUCGCGCCUGCAGUGGGUAACGGGCAGACUAGAGUGCGGUAGGGGAGAUUGGAAUUCCUGGGUGUAGCGGUGGAAUGCGCAGAUAAUCAGGAGGAACACCGAUGGCGAAGGCAGAUCUCUGGGCCGUAACUGACGCUGAGGAGCGAAAGCCAGGGGAGCAAACGGG